ACACGUGGGUAACCUGCCUUAUAGUGGGGGAUAGCCUUUCGAAAGGAAGAUUAAUACCGCAUAAGAUUGUAGUAUCGCAUGAUAUAGCAAUUAAAGGAGCAAUCCGCUAUAAGAUGGACCCGCGUCGCAUUGGCUAGUUGGUGAGGUAAUGGCUCACCAAGGCGACGAUGCGUAGCCGACCUGAGAGGGUGAUCGGCCACAUUGGGACUGAGACACGGCCCAGACUCCCUACGGGAGGCAGCAUG
rnacentral:rRNA from 1 species